rnacentral:lncRNA from 1 species
GGGGCGGAGCCAGGAGCAUCAGCGGGGUCACCCCCUGUGUGUAUAAAUCCUGCUACCAGGGAGUGCAGCGACACAGAAGGAGCACCAGCAGGAUGGGCAACCAGGCUAAGUGACCAGACUGCUACCACGCAGACAGCAAGCAGCAAAGCUGGGAGCCAGCCAAGACUUCUCCAGCCUGAAGCCUGGGCUUUGUUUGCAGAGUGGCUCCAGCUCCCCACUACACCUCUCACAUGGCCAUGAGUGAGCUAGCACCGCAACCCAGGCACCAUUACGCACCUUCUGAGUGAGUGGUACUGUCCUCAGUCAGCCAGUGAACUCCCAGUUUUGGCCCUCUUAGUAAGGCCCUCACGACUGUGCUGAAUUGCAGAAGACAUUGCAAAGACUUUUCUUGAAUCACUUCCACUUCAGCUUUCAAGGAAAAACAUUCAUGUAAAGUAGUGCCCUUUGACAGAAAUGAUGCAAGACUCUCCUGCAUCCCUUGAGUCGGGCAGAAUAAUUCCUGCUAUGGUGUCCUACAGAACGUGAAUUUCAACAUCAGUGCUGACCAGAGUGAAGAAAAUCAAAGACCUGAGAAUACAGGAAGCUGUCUAAGCAAAAGGAAAUGGAAGUGUUACGAAGUGUUAUUUCUCCACUGAGGUGCAGCCUUCCCUCUUCUUCCUCAAAAUUUGUUUCAAAUUAAGACUGCUCU